CCUACGGGAGGCAGCAGUGAGGAAUAUUGGUCAAUGGGCGCAAGCCUGAACCAGCCAAGUAGCGUGAAGGAUGACUGCCCUACGGGUUGUAAACUUCUUUUAUAAAGGAGUAAAGGGAGGCACGUGUGCCUGUUUGUAUGUACUCUAUCAAUAAAGAUCGGCCAACUUCGUGCCAGCAGCCGAGGUGAUACGGGGGAGUCGGGGAUUAUCCGGAGUUGUUUGGGUUAAAGGGAGCGUAGGUGGGUUGUUAAGUCAGUUGUGAAAGUUUGCGGCUCAACCCUAAAAUUGCAAUUGAUACUGGCAGUCUUGAGUACAGGUGAGGUAGGCGGAAUUCGUGGUGUAGCGGUGAAAUGCUUAGAUAUCACGAAGAACUCCGAUUGCGAAGGCAGCUUACUGGACUGCCACUGACGUUGAUGCGCGAAAGUGUGGGUAUCAAACAGGAUUAGAUACCCGGGUAGUC
rnacentral:rRNA from 1 species